ACCUGAUCCCAUCCCGAACUCAGCAGUGAAACGAUGCAUCGCCGAUGGUAGUGUGGGGUUUCCCCAUGUGAGAGUAGGUCAUUGUCAAGA
rnacentral:rRNA from 1 species